rnacentral:rRNA from 1 species
AGUGAACGCUGGCGGCGUGCUUAACACAUGCAAGUCGAACGAGAACGGGUUAUAGCUUGCUAUAAUUGUCAGCUAAGUGGCGCACGGGUGAGUAAUGUAUAGGUAAUAUGCCUCUUACUAAGGGAUAACAAAUGGAAACGUUUGCUAAUACCUUAUACUCCUUAUUAACAUAAGUUAAUAAGGGAAAGAUUUAUUGGUAAGAGAUUAGCCUGUAUUGUAUCAGUUAGUUGGUGGGGUAAUGGCUUACCAAGACUAUGACACAUAACUGGUUUGAGAGGAUGAUCAGUCACACUGGAACUGAGACACGGUCCAGACUCCUACGGGAGGCAGCAGUGGGGAAUAUUGCACAAUGGACGAAAGUCUGAUGCAGCAACGCCGCGUGGAGGAUGACACAUUUCGGUGCGUAAACUCCUUUUAUAUGAGAGGAUAAUGACGGUAUUAUAUGAAUAAGCACCGGCUAACUCCGUACCAGCAGCCGCCGUAA